AUGUCUCGCGGGUCAGAUAAAGGACUCAUGCUCCAUCUUAAAGCAGGGAAGGCCAAAGCACCAAGGAGCAGAUGAAUGGAACUCACCUCAUGACUGUGCCGGACCUGAAAUGCUAACCUGGAGCCGAGCAGUUUCUUUUGGCCCGACCAGUUUUUCUUCCCUACACAUUUUAGCUGGAGUUAUAUUUUAAACAGGCAAAUCUGAAAACUUCAUGCAACCGUCAAACUCUCCAAAUGAUUUCUCAUUGUCUUUGGAGAAGCUUCUAAGUCAUGUGCAUGUACUGUAGGCUCUUAGACUGUUUGCCUCUGGCUCCCUCUUCAAUCUCAUCCUCUCAUACCCGUGCAUUUGUCUCCUGUGCCCAAGCCACUUAGGACUUUUCUCUGCUCCAGGCUUACGCAGAGUUGCUUCUCACAUCUGGACCAUGCCAGGUGCUACCGCCCCCCCCCCCCCACCGCCUCAUAGGGUUGUUGGGAGGCUCUGAGGUUUCCAUGGGGUAAAGGAUAGACACGGAGUAAAUGCCAUCAGAUGAUGCUCAUUAAAUAUUAUUUUUGGUCCCUUCUAUCCAUCCUGUCAGUAUGGCAUAGUCAGGGUCUUCUGGGUAAUUAUUUGGAAAGUAAAUCACUCAUUGGCAUGGGGCAGGAGGAAAUGAUAGACGACAGGGGUAGUGAAUGAGAAGCAAGGUGUAAAUACAGUUCUUGCUUAGGAAAAUGGAUGCUGCUUUGUUGGGCCCACGUUCUAUUUUUUUUUUUUUUACCCAUUAUUCCUUCUAAAAAUUUUAAUCAACCUCAUUGGUUCAAAGGUUGCAUUGAAUACAUUAUUCUAAGGGCACUACAUGAAGAUCUCACCUUUUUACAAUUCUGAACUAAGUUUGUUAAACACGUGUA